rnacentral:rRNA from 1 species
UAUCUCUGUAGAGUCUGCAUAUCAAUAAGCGGAGGAAAAGAAACUAACAAGGAUUCCCUUAGUAACGGCGAGUGAAGCGGGAAGAGCUCAAAUUUGAAAUCUUCAAGGUUCUACCUUGACGAAUUGUAGUUUAUAGAAGUGUUUUCUGUUAGAUGAGGUGGCUAAAAGUUCUUUGGAAUAGGACAUCAUAGAGGGUGAGAAUCCCGUAUUUGGUCAUUCCUCCUAGCGUUGUGAUACACUUUCAACGAGUCGGAUUGUUUGGGAAUGCAGUCCAAAAUGGGUGGUAAAUUUCAUCUAAAGCUAAAUAUUGGCGAGAGACCGAUAGCGAACAAGUACCGUGAGGGAAAGAUGAAAAGAACUUUGAAAAGAGAGUUAAACAGUACGUGAAAUUGUCAAAAGGGAAGCGUUUGACACCAGUGUUGUUUUUCCGAAAAUCAAUUACGAAUGUUUUGUUUUUGAGGAGUUAUGACUUCAUCGGCUUGCUCCUUUCUUUACGAAACUUUCUUAAUGCACUUUUCGGUUAACAAGUCAACAUCAAUUUCUUUUGUUGUAAAAGGGUAUGAGGAAGGUGGCUUUCUUUUCGGAGAAAGUGUUUAUAGCCUUGUGCCUCUGCAAUCGGAGAGAUUGAGGUCUGCAGCGUAGAUCCUUCGGGGUUAGAUACGUUUGUGCUAAGUUAUAGCUUUUCAUAGACAACUUGUUGACUAUGUUUAGUCUUGUAGCUUACUCGCUGACGCUAUUUUACCUACGCUUAGGAUGUUGACGCAUGAGAUAUACGC